UGCGUAGGCGGCUUAUUAAGUCAGAUGUGAAAGCCCCGGGCUUAACCUGGGAACUGCAUUUGAUACUGGUAGGCUAGAGUAUGGUAGAGGGGGGUAGAAUUCCUAGUGUAGCGGUGAAAUGCGUAGAUAUUAGGAGGAAUACCAGUGGCGAAGGCGGCCCCCUGGACCAAUACUGACGCUGAGGUACGAAAGCGUGGGUAGCGAACA
rnacentral:rRNA from 1 species